CCCUGAGACAACCAUAUGAAAAAAGAGUGUAUUUUCACGCUUCUAAAGACCUUAAGUCAUCAUACUGCAAAGAUAUGGCCCUCUGGUGUUGCUUGGUUAGGUCUACUUUGCAAUUUCCAGACACUAGAAUGAUUUGGUGCAUUGAAACACCUUGAAUUUUACAACAAUAUUACAAUAAUGUAACCUCAAUUCAGAAAUGAAAAAGAAAAAAAAACAUUUGCACAUAUAAUUAUGGCAACACCUGACCCUACAACACAAUUUCCACACUGCAAUUGCGCACCUGGCCAUAUGCACAAAACAUGAAACAGGCAGACGCUAUUUGCAUGUGUUUUUUUUUUUAGUCCUACCUAGAGGAUGUAACACAUAAAUUCUGUAUCCUAAAACACUAUUCUCCAAUUAGUCGCAAUUGGCGCUCCUCGCAGCUAUGCGUAAUUGGGUCCUAAUGAAUUGCAGGUGCGCCUCUAUAAAUGCUUGUAACGAAGGGAAAUGUUGUAGUCCUUUUUAAUCAUCCGUUUAAAGCCCUGCUAAAGAUGAAAGUGUCUGGGGUGCCUGGAAGGUCUUGCCGCGAUGGGAGGAGGAGAUCAGUUCUACGGAGACGUUCCGCGUCCAUUUAUAGGAAUCAGGACGAGCUCAAUUUUGCACGGGAGUUGAAUUUUCCACGACGUCAACCUGUGUACAUGCUGCACAGAGUGGGGAACGAGGCCGCGCGUCUUGCCGUUUCAAACAGGCGAAGGGUCAUCACCCAUCAUGAGGUUCUAGCUGCCAUGUUCGCCAUUUUUAGUGCUGCUGCCCGGGCCCGUUACCAGUUUGUCGGCGUUUCUGAUGGUGGUUAACACGGACGUUGGAUGAUUUUAACAUUUGGACAUAUUUUACGAAGAGAAACGAAUAAUAAAAAUGUUUUAAUAAUUUUA